AUACGUAGGUGACAAGCGUUAUCCGGAUUUACUGGGCGUAAAGGGCGUGUAGGCGGUCUUGCAAGUCAGAAGUGAAAUUCCUGAGCUCAACUCGGGCGCUGCUUCUGAAACUGCAGGACUUGAGUGCUGGAGGGGAUAGCGGAAUUCCUAGUGGAGCGGUAAAAUGCGCAGAUAUUAGGAAGAACACCGGUGGCGAAGGCGGCUAUCUGGACAGUAACUGACGCUGAGGCGCGAAAGCGUGGGGAGCAAACAGGAUUAAAUACCCUGGUAGGCCACGCCGUAAACGAUGAAUACUAGGUGUAGGGGGUAUCGACUCCCUCUGUGCCGCAGUUAACACAAUAAGUAUUCCGCCUGGGGAGUACGGCCGCAAGGUUGAAACUCAAAGGAAUUGACGGGG
rnacentral:rRNA from 1 species